rnacentral:rRNA from 1 species
GGACUACAGGGGUAUCUAAUCCUGUUUGCUACCCAUGCUUUCGUCCCUGAGCGUCAGUAUCGAGCCAGAUAGCCGCCUUCGCUACUGGUGUUCUUCAUGAUCUCUACGCAUUUCACUGCUACACCAUGAAUUCCACUAUCCUCUCUCGAACUCAAGACAAGUAGUAUCAAUGGCAAUUUCAUAGUUGAGCUAUGAGAUUUCACCACCGACUUGCUUGCCCGCCUGCGGACCCUUUACACCCAGUAAUUCCGGACAACGCUUGCACCCUACGUAUUACCGCGGCUGCUGGCAC